GUGCCACACAGCAGCAGGUGGAGAGCAGGCUUGGCGAGCUCCUGAAAUGCCGGCAGCCGGUGCCGCCGACCGCGCUACCCACGCGCGAGCAGCCCUCUGCACAGCCUCAGGGACCCUGGCCCCUUGCAAGUCCGGGGCCAAGGCUUGUGUUCAAUCGAGUGAAUGGCCGGAGGCCCCUCACCACCUCCCCAUCCCUCGAGGGGACCCAAGAGACCUUGUGGCUUGGCUGGGUACCGGCCACACCUGAAGUGCCAACAUUUGGACUUUUGCACCUGUUGUUCCCUUGGCUUGGCUGUCCCAAGAUGCCAGAGUCAGGGGUCAAACCUAUCUAACCUCAGUCCUGCUCACUGUGCCCAGGGACAAGCCCCUGGGGCUGGCAGGGAGGAGUUCAGGCUAAUAAAGUUGAUAAACUGCCC
rnacentral:lncRNA from 1 species